rnacentral:tRNA from 1 species
CGGCGACCCGGCUGCAGGAGCUGGUGCCCAUCCGCUACGGACGGAUGCUGGAGUCGCCGUUCCGCUUCUACCGCGGCGCCGCCGCC